UUAGGAAAGUGGCGAACGGGUGAGUAACGCGUAGGUAACCAACCUCAUACAGGGGGAUAGCCCAGGGAAACUUGGAUUAAACCCGCAUAAGACCACGCUAUCGCAUGAUAAAGUGGUAAAAACUCCGGUGGUAUGAGACGGACCUGCGUCUUAUUAGGUAGUUGGUGAGGUAACGGCUCACCAAGCCGACGAUGAGUAGCCGACCUGAGAGGGUGAUCGGCCACAUUGGGACUGAGACACGGCCCAGACUCCUACGGGAGGCAGCAUG
rnacentral:rRNA from 1 species